rnacentral:rRNA from 1 species
CGGUGGUGAGCGGCGAACGGGUGAGUAACACGUAGGUGAUCUGCCCAUCAGACGGGGACAACGAUUGGAAACGAUCGCUAAUACCGGAUAGGACGAAAGUUUAAAGGUGCUUCUGGCACCGCUGAUGGAUGAGCCUGCGGCGCGUUAGCUAGUUGGUAGGGUAAAGGCCUACCAAGGCGACGAUGCGUAGCCGACCUGAGAGGGUGAACGGCCACACUGGGACUGAGACACGGCCCAAACUCCUACGGGAGGCAGCAUG